rnacentral:rRNA from 1 species
AGCAGUAGCCGCGGUAAUACGGAGGGUGCAAGCGUUAAUCGGAAUUACUGGGCGUAAAGCGCACGCAGGCGGUCUGACAAGUCAGAUGUGAAAUCCCCGGGCUUAACCUGGGAACUGCAUUUGAAACUGUCAGGCUGGAGUCUUGUAGAGGGGGGUAGAAUUCCAGGUGUAGCGGUGAAAUGCGUAGAGAUCUGGAGGAAUACCGGUGGCGAAGGCGGCCCCCUGGACAAAGACUGACGCUCAGGUGCGAAAGCGUGGGGAGCAAACAGGAUUAGAUACCCCUGUAGUCCCUGUCUCUUAUAA